UUAAACUUAUAGCAUCUUAAAAGAGGGGUCUGUCAAGUCCAACUUAAACAUCACGUUCUUUCAAAAAUGAAGAUGGCCCAUUUUAACUUAUAUGAUGGAAAUCUAAAAAUUAACUGAUUUUUCAAAAAUUCUUUAAGAGCACUAUUAUAUAUUAAUUAGAUGAGAGUAUCAAAUGAGGAAAUUAAAAACUAAAUCAUGGACCCCCUGAUAAGUGCAGAAACAAACUGAAAAUAACCCAAAUAACUGGACCAAAUCAAAAUUCGAAUAGAGUACAUAUAAAAUACGAAGGCCGUCAUAGACGACCCCAAGCUUUUCGCUCGUACUUCUUCUAAAUGUCCAAUGUAGUGUAAGACUCCGUGGUAAUGACUCCAUGCACUAGUAUGGGAGAGUCUUACAUUAAGACUUCAAAUUUUCUCCAAGCGUACAUGCAAAAGGAAAGAAGAAGAAAAGAGAAUUAGAGAAAAACUUAAUUUUUAUUAUAUGUGACGAUAAAACAUACAAGUCAAGAAUAACAAUUAUCUCCUCAAAUCUGAAAUAUUCCACGAACUAGAACGAAAUAGUAGUGUACUGCAUAUAAGCUAUUCCAUUUUAAAAUAGCACUUUAAGUGCCUUUUUUGUUACAAAAUGAAAGCAAUUUAGUAAAACAUGAACAAGAAAUAUAAGCAAUUUAGUGAAACAUGAACAAGAAAUAUAGAUAGAGAGAAAGAAGAGAUUUUCUNNNNNNNNNNNNNNNNNNNNNNNNNNNNNNNNNNNNNNNNNNNNNNNNNUAAAACAUGAACAAGAAAUAUAAGCAAUUUAGUGAAACAUGAACAAGAAAUAUAAAUAGAGAGAAGGAAGAGAUUUUCUUCUUCAAUUGUAUGUAUUCUUCUAUCUAUAACAAAGCCUUUAUAUAGGCAUAAAAAGUGAAGAAAAUAUGCCAUUGAAUAUACAAAAUAUGUCAUUGAAUAUGUCAUAAACCAUUUGAGAUGAAGAUCAUGGAAGAAGAGUAGACAUUCACCAUAAAUUGCUAUUUAUCAUAAUAUUUUUGAAGUUUUUCCCUUUUAGAUCAACAUCAACCUAACAAACAAAGUGGGAUUUACAUUUCCAUAGGGCCAUUAACAACACUUAAAUUUAAUUCUUGAAGGUAUAAGAGAUUAUGACAGCAAAAUUUAUAAGGUUAUUUAAUAAACACAUGCUUACGGUUUUAUCUAUAUCAUAAUUAGACAAUCAUAUUACAUGUAAUAAAGAUAACAUUAAUGCUACUAAUAGGAGGACAUACACAUGGAUCAGUUAGGAGAAACAGUGAAGAGCUUCUCGUAUUUUACAAACAAGCACACUCCAUAAGUAUGAGUUUUUAAUUAAAGAUCUUAACAAACUAACUAUAAAAGAUCCAUGAAGGUUUCACAAGUUGGUGUUUCAGGUACAAACAUGAAAGGGGAUAAAUGUUCAUAUGCUUAGGCCAAACAAUAACAACAUGUGUGAUCCCUAGAUAAGUCUAUAUGAUGGCAAGAUUUUAACGAGACUAAACACUACUUAUAAUUUAAUGGUCAUUUAGCAUAGAUCUUUGCUAAGUUAUAACAUGAAAAGAACCUUAUGCCAAAAUCUUUAGUAGAUAUUUUGUCCAGUUAACUAAACUAACUUAUAGCCACAUUUUCUAUACUUCAAUAACACCAUCUUAAGAAAGGGUCUCAAAAACCAGUUCUGUUGAAAUACAUAUGAAAUUAUCCAAUCAUAACAGGUCACUAACAUGUGUAAACACUAUAAAUACACCUUCACAAUAGUGUAACAAUAGGAGAGGAUCACAACUUAGCUUGAGUUUGUAUUAUUUGCUUUAGAUAGUAGCUAAAAGGGUUGGAUUGCAACUAGUUCAGAGUUAAUUAAAUCUUAUAAGCACGGUCUCUAAGUUUCAAGAAAAAUCUAAAGCCGGGUAUCCUUAUAAUAAGAAAUUAUACAUCCGUUAACCUGUAAAAGCUAUUUCUUUACAAAAAAGUAUAUUAUCACGAACUCAAUCCCGGUUGUAAUGGCGCCCAACAUAAUGCUAGGCAAGCCCGACCAUCAAACACUCACGACCCUUUCAUAUAGAAUUCUUUAUUAGCUAUUAGAGUUAAAUGCGAAUUUGAUAACAAUAGAAGUCUAAACAACAUAUAUGAAAUUUGCGGCAAACCAUAAAACAUCUCUACAUAGCCCGCUAGAUCCGGUGUCACAAGUCUAAGCCUCUAAAUACAAGGUUUCAAAAGUCUACUAUAGAGAUAUGUCUAGAAUGCAGAAAUGUAAAAGAUAGAGGGAGAACAUCGGGUCUGCGGACGCCAUGCAACUACCUCGAUAACUCCAGCAGAAACUGAACUGCGGAAGAGCUCGCGCUACACCUCAGGCGUACCUGAAUAUGCACAUAAGGUGCAGGUAGUAAUAUGGGUACUCCGACCCAGUGAGUAACAACCAUAAUAAUGACUGAAAGCAUGAAAUCACAUAAAGACACAAGAUAAUUCUAUAUUAAAGCAGUAAAAUCAUCUAAAGCAGUAAAAUGGUAAAGGGUCAAAUAAAAUCUCUUAAAAACCCGGUGAAAAUAGGUAUUUUGAAAGGUAAAUGACAUGUAGAAAUCUGCCCCUCAGGCUUAGUACCAGUCUAUCAGAACAGUAUGAGCCCAUUGGGCUCAGUAUGAGGCUCUCAGAACAGUAUCAGCCCCUCGGGCUCAGUAUCAAUCUCUUAGUAUAAAAUCAGCCCCUCGCGCUCAGUAUCAGACUCUUAGCAUAAAAUUAGUCCCUCAGGCUCACUCUCAUAUCAUGAGGGUACAUGCACUCACUGUGGGUGUGCAGACUCUGGAGGGGCCCUUAAUGCCCAAGCACUAUAUCAAGCCACCGUGUGGCAUCAUCAUUCGGCACUCGGCCUCACAUCACUCAAGCCACCUCGUGGCAUAUAAAGUAACUCAGGCCCUUGGCCUCGUUUCACUCAACAUAUUCUCACAUAUGGCCCUCGGCCUCGCUCAAUCCAGGACUCAUCAUAAGCCCCUUGGGAAUCAAUAAAACAAUAGUGCUCAACACAAACAACAUUUUUAAAUAUCAUUUAAGUUCUCAAAUUCGAGUAAAAAUGGCUGAGUUUACAAUACAACAUUAAAUCAAUAUGACUGAGUUCAGGUGAUAUAUCAAAAUAGUGAGAAAACAGUGAUAAAAAUCCAUGAAGGGUCAAAUAAUCGGUAUUAAGCCCAAAUGUGGAAAUAAGCCCAAAUAAUUAUGAAAACAAACAAGUCCCAGCCAAAUAUGCGGUAGAAACAUCAAUCAGAACGGACCAAGUCACACUCCCCAAUGGUAAACGACCUCGCUUGUCAUCAAGCGCUUGUCUCACCUCAAUAUAGCACUACGUUGUGCAAUCUGGAGUUUCAAACCAUCAGCACAUCAAUUACAAUCAUUACUCACCUUAAGCCGGCCAAAACUCUAGUUUGCUAUGCCCUUGCCUCUCAAAUCGGCCUGCUCACACGUUGAAUCUGACCAAAACCACAACAAAUACGUCACAAUAGGCUAAAGGAAUACCCAAUCGAAAAUAAUCAAAAAACAUCAAAAAUCCCGAAAUUGAAAAAAAAACUGAGCCCCGGGCCCACUUCUUGAAACUACAAAAAUUUUCCAUCACCGGGUUCCUUAUCUCACGAGUCCAUACAUAUCAAGAACUUCCAAAUCCAAGCUCAAAUGACCCAUCAAAUCCCAAUUCGAAAUAUCAAAACUCAAGCUCUAGUUCUUCCCCUUUUUGCUAAGAUUCCAUGAAUUUCUAGCUUAAUUCCAUAAUUAAAUCAUGUUUUUAUUUAAUAGGACUUACCCCCAAUCGAUCCUCUUCGAAUCCUUCUUCAAUUCCCGCCCAAAAGCUCUCAAGGAUGCUCAACAAUGGUGGAAAAUAACAUAGGUUCUCAGAUGAAACAUCAUUAAGAACCUUCUGCCCAGCUGGCAUUUUACUCUAUGCGAACGCGAGGGCUCUCUCGCGUUCGUGAUGAACAACUUGCCUCAGACCAAAAUUACCCUUCGCGAAAGCGGUCCCCCACCCACGAACGUGAAGCUUCCGCAACCUCAAUUAUGCAAACGCAUCCCCAUGACCGCGAACGAGAUGCAUAAAACCACGGAACCUCAGAUCUUUCUAUGCGAACGCGGGAAACCUUCCGCGAACGCGAAGCACCAGCUCUCAGACCUAUACGAACCCGAGCCCCAGGCUGCUAAUGUGAAGAGCAAAACUUAGGCACCCAAAAAUCCUUCUAUGCUAUCGCGAUCAUACCCACGCGAUCGCGAUGACCAAAAUUUCUCUGCUACAGCUGCUGCAUUUUCUGCAGCUCUUUCAAGUCUAAAACUUCCGGAUAGACUAUCCAAAACUCACCCGAGGCUCCCGGGACCUCAACCAAAAGCACCAACGCCUCCUAACACAUCAUUUGAACUUGUUCCAAUCAUCAAAAUACCUCAAACAACACCAAAAUCAUCGAAUUAUAUCGAUUUCAAGCCUAAGUUCCGAAUCACCUGAAAUUUUGCACACACAUUCCAAAUCACCUAACGAAGCUACUGCAACUCCCGGAAUUCCAUUCUGACCCUCGGAGCAAAAUCUCACUUAUUAACCGAAAUUCGUAAAAAUACUAACUUUGCCAAUUCAAGCCUUUCUAUACCGGACCUCCAAAAUCACUUCCGAUCACACUCCUAAGCCACAAAUUAUCCCUCGAAGCUAAUCGAACCAUCGAAAAUCACAUCCGAGUCUUCUAACUCAUAAGUCAACAUCCGUUUGACUUUUCCAAACUAAGUUUCCUUAAAGAGACUAAGUGUCUCAUUUCCUACCAAAACCAAUCCAAAUCGACUCGAUCACAUCAAAUACCAAUAAUGAAGAUAAAGAAGCAUAAAAUGAGGAAAACAGAGCAGUGACUCAUGAGACGACGGGUCGGGUCGUCACACAUAUGAGCCUUUCAUCCAUAUUAACUAAUCAAAAAUUGACAAGAAGCAUCCCAGAUGCUUAAUCAAAUAACAUAAAAUUAAGAGCUCAUUGCCAACUAGAUACUGAAACAUUAAAACACUAAAAAUUCCAGAAACGAAACAAAAAGAAAGAUAUCGACCUUUUGCAGGUAGUGAACUGAGGUGGGGAUCUAAGGUGCGCUAUCGAACUCCGACAUCGGACCAACUAACUCAAACAAGCCAAGAACGUUAGAAGCACCUUUGCAAAAAUUAAACAGAGGCUGAGAGAAAAGAUGGGUUAUUGAAGAGUAAUUUCAGAGCAAAUGGGCGACGGCUUCGUUCUCCUCAACUCUUGCAAAUGUGAGUAUUUAUAGGAAGAUUUGAGCCUUAGGUUUUUGUUUAGAUGCGAUUUUGAAUUAGCUGUUUAGAAGUCAAAGUGGGCGUUCAAGAUCAGACAAAAUGGUGACAGAAAAGAUGGAAGACAAACGAGUAAGAAAAUAUAGAUCUUCUGCCAUAAGAUUUAAUUUUAAAAUAUAGAUAAGGUUUCAUGCUAUCUGACUUGAAAACGAAGAGAUUCAGAGAGAGAAAGUGAACAACAACAACAACCUAUAAUUUCACUUAGUGGGGUCUGGGAAGGCUAGUGGGUACUUACCCAUACCCGAGUUUGAGAGGCUGUUUCCAAAUAGACCCCCAGCAUCCUUAACUUGCUCUUGGGGACACUCGAACUCACAACUUUUCGGUUAAAAGUGAAGUCGUUUACAACCCCUCCUGUGUUCAGAGAGAGAAAGUGACAAUGCACAAAAUAGGAUGAAAAACUUCUGCUCUUAGGAAGAAAAUAUUGGAAUUUUGCUCUAAAAUGGAAAAUGGAAGUCUGGUGCCAGUGGUACGAAAAGAGAGAGAGUAGUGAAAUCC
rnacentral:lncRNA from 1 species